rnacentral:rRNA from 2 species
UGCAAGUCGAACGAUGAACCACUUCGGUGGGGAUUAGUGGCGAACGGGUGAGUAACACGUGGGCAAUCUGCCCUUCACUCUGGGACAAGCCCUGGAAACGGGGUCUAAUACCGGAUACCACCCUCGCGGGCAUCUGUGAGGGUUGAAAGCUCCGGCGGUGAAGGAUGAGCCCGCGGCCUAUCAGCUUGUUGGUGAGGUAACGGCUCACCAAGGCGACGACGGGUAGCCGGCCUGAGAGGGCGACCGGCCACACUGGGACUGAGACACGGCCCAGACUCCUACGGGAGGCAGCAGUGGGGAAUAUUGCACAAUGGGCGAAAGCCUGAUGCAGCGACGCCGCGUGAGGGAUGACGGCCUUCGGGUUGUAAACCUCUUUCAGCAGGGAAGAAGCGAAAGUGACGGUACCUGCAGAAGAAGCGCCGGCUAACUACGUGCCAGCAGCCGCGGUAAUACGUAGGGCGCAAGCGUUGUCCGGAAUUAUUGGGCGUAAAGAGCUCGUAGCGGCUUGUCACGUCGGGUGUGAAAGCCCGGGGCUUAACCCCGGGUCUGCAUUCGAUACGGGCUAGCUAGAGUGUGGUAG